UACGUAGGACCCAAGCGUUAUCCGGAUUGACUGGGCGUAAAGAGUUGCGUAGGUGGUAAUUCAAGCGAAUAGUGAAAUCUUGUGGCUCAACCAUAAGGCUAUUAUUCGAACUGAAUUACUCGAGAAUGGGAGAGGUAUCUGGAAUUUCCAAUGUAGGGGUAAUAUCCGUAGAUAUUGGGAGGAACACCGAUGGCGUAAGCAGGAUACUGGACCAUUUCUGACACUAAGGCACGAAAGCGUGGGGAGCGAACCGG
rnacentral:rRNA from 1 species